rnacentral:pre_miRNA from 1 species
UCAAUAUCCCUUUCGUUCCGAAUUACUUGUCGGAUGUAUGGAUGUAUCUAGAUAUAUUUUAAUUCUAGAUAAUCCAUUUUUGCGACAAGUAAUUUAGAACGGAGGGAGUACCUG